CACUCUUGCGAGCAUACUUCCCAGGCGGGAUACUUAACGCGUUAGCUUUGAUACUGCACAGGUCGAUCUGUUCAACAUCUAGUAUCCAUUGUUUACAGCUAGGACUACUGGGGUAUCUAAUCCCAUUUGCUACCCUAGCUUUCGUCUCUGAGUGUUAGUAAUAGCCCAGUAAAGUGCCUUCGCCAUCGGUGUUCUUUCCAAUAUCUACGCAUUUCACCGCUCCACUGGAAAUUCCCUUUACCCCUACUAUACUCUAGUCUAAUAGUUUCGACUGCUGAUUUGAAGUUGAGCCUCAAGAUUUAACAGUUGACUUACUAAACCACCUACAGACGCUUUACGCCCAGUAAUUCCGGAUAACACUUGCACCCUCCGUCUUACCGCAGCUGCUGGCACGGAGUUAGCCGGUGCUUAUUCUUCAGGUACACGUCAUUUUAUUCCUCCCUGAAAAAAGAGGUUUACAACCCAUAGGCAUUCUUCCCUCACGCGGUAUUGCUCCGUCAGGCUUUCGCCCAUUGCGGAAAAUUCCCCA
rnacentral:rRNA from 1 species